rnacentral:rRNA from 1 species
UACGUAGGGGGCAAGCGUUAUCCGGAUUUACUGGGUGUAAAGGGAGCGUAGACGGCAGCGCAAGUCUGGAGUGAAAUGCCGGGGCCCAACCCCGGAACUGCUCUGGAAACUGUGAAGCUGGAGUGCAGGAGAGGUAAGCGGAAUUCCUGGUGUAGCGGUGAAAUGCAUAGAUAUCACGCAGAACUCCGAUUGCGAAGGCAGCAUACCGGCGCCCGACUGACGCUGAAGCACGAAAGCGUGGGUAUCGAACAGG